rnacentral:rRNA from 1 species
AUUGAACGCUGGCGGAUGCCUUACACAUGCAAGUCGAACGGUAACAGGUCUUCGGAUGCUGACGAGUGGCGAACGGGUGAGUAAUACAUCGGAACGUGCCCGAUCGUGGGGGAUAACGGAGCGAAAGCUUUGCUAAUACCGCAUACGAUCUACGGAUGAAAGCAGGGGAUCGCAAGACCUUGCGCUGAUUGAGCGGCCGAUGUCAGAUUAGCUAGUUGGUGAGGUAAAGGCUCACCAAGGCGACGAUCUGUAGCGGGUCUGAGAGGAUGAUCCGCCACACUGGAACUGAGACACGGUCCAGACUCCUACGGGAGGCAGCAGUGGGGAAUUUUGGACAAUGGGCGAAAGCCUGAUCCAGCAAUGCCGCGUGCAGGAAGAAGGCCUUCGGGUUGUAAACUGCUUUUGUACGGAACGAAACGGUCCUUUUUAAUACAGGGGGCUAAUGACGGUACCGUAAGAAUAAGCACCGGCUAACUACGUG